GACGAACGCUGGCGGCGUGCCUAAUACAUGCAAGUCGAGCGAAGCGGCGGUUGGGUGAGUAACGCGUGGGUAACCUGUCCUUAUGUCUGGGCUAACAUUUGGAAACAGAUGCUAAUACCGGAUACUAAAGGAUGGACUUGCGAUGCAUUAGCUAGUUGGUAAGGUAACGGCUUACCAAGGCGAUGAUGCAUAGCCGGGUUGAGAGACUGAUCGGCCAAAUUGGCACUGAGACACGGCCCAAACUCCUACGGGAGGCAGCAGUGGGGAAUAUUGCACAAUGGGCGAAAGCCUGAUGCAGCCAUGCCGCGUGUAUGAAGAAGGCCUUCGGGUUGUAAAGUACUUUCAGCGAGGAGGCGUUACUCGCAGAAGAAGCAUCGGCUAACUCCGUGCCAGCAGCCGCGGUAAUUC
rnacentral:rRNA from 1 species